AUCAACUUUCGAUGGUAGGAUAGAGGCCUACCAUGGUGGUAACGGGUAACGGGGUGUUAGGGCACGACACCGGAGAGGGAGCCUGAGAAACGGCUACCACAUCCAAGGAUGGCAGCAGGCGCGCAAAUUACCCAAUCCCGACACGGGGAGGUAGUGACAAUAAAUAACAAUACGGGGUUCUUUAGGAUCUCGUAAUUGGAAUGAGUACAAUUUAAAUCUCUUAACGAGGAACAAUUGGAGGGCAAGUCUGGUGCCAGCAGCCGCGGUAAUUCCAGCUCCAAUAGCGUAUAUUAAAGUUGUUGCAGUUAAAAAGCUCGUAGUUGAAUUUCGGGGUUAGUAGGUUGGUCAUGCCUCUGGUAUGUACUGAUCUCACUGAUUCCUCCUUCCUUAUGAACCGUAAUGCCAUUAAUUUGGUGUUGCGGGGAAUUUGGACUGUUACUUUGAAAAAAUUAGAGUGUUUAAAGCAGGCUAACGCUUGAAUACAUUAGCAUGGAAUAAUGAAAUAGGACGUUCGAUCUUAUUUUGUUGGUUUCUAGGAUUGACGUAAUGAUUAAUAGGGAUAGUUGGGGGCAUUAGUAUUCAAUUGUCAGAGGUGAAAUUCUUGGAUUUAUUGAAGACUAACUACUGCGAAAGCAUUUGCCAAGGAUGUUUUCAUUAAUCAAGAACGAAAGUUAGGGGAUCGAAGACGAUCAGAUACCGUCGUAGUCUUAACCAUAAACUAUGCCGACUAGGGAUCGGAUGAUGUUAAUUUUUUUAAUGACUCAUUCGGCGCCUUACGGGAAACCAAAGUGUUUGGGUUC
rnacentral:rRNA from 1 species